UCCCCUCUUUUGUGAACUGCUAGGACCUC
rnacentral:piRNA from 1 species